rnacentral:lncRNA from 14 species
CUUGGCCCUUGUUUCCUGGAGGAGCUAUUGAAGUCGGUGGCAUUGCUCAAGGUGGGCUCCUCUCAUCUGUGAUGGGCACUGAUAGAGCCCCAUGGAUUGGUCUGUUACAGGUUCCACGCUGGUGGUGCUCCUCACAGUGAAGGUGAUUUCCACUCCAGUAAGCUACCAUGGUUUUCCAUGGAUGAGGUGAGUACCUCUCUUGGUUUGCCAUGCAUUUCCUUCAGAGAAAUGAGUCCACUGUUGAAGCAGGAAGAGAGAAAAUGGAAAUGGACCAAUUCCAAAGGCAAAGCUGAGGUGGUUGUUGAUGCUGCUGGGAAAGACACUAAACACUAAGCAUGGGAUGUCGUGUGAGAUGAGAAGCUCUCCAAAUACAUAAAGGGAAGGUAAAUGAUGGAUUCUUCAUGAUGGGGCCCCAGAUGUUGCAGAGGUGAAGCUGCAGUGGG